UUUUGUUGUCUCAUAGAAGUAAAGAACUGUUCAGAUGUUUGAGAUGUCACUAAAGCUAAAAAUAUUGGCAUCAAAGUCACUGUUCUGCUUGACAUGCCUCUUUGCACAAAAGCUCAUUUUCUACGUUUUUUGGUCAAAAACAGGUGUUUAUGCUGAAACCACCCUAAGUUCUACUGCCGAUUACUAAAGAAAAAAAAGGCUUGAAACAAACUUUGUUUUCCUGAUAAAAGAAGAGAAACUACACUUUCUUUUGAUAGUUUCAAUGUUUAUGCAGUCCCAAAACUCAAUUUUCUGUGGGUCUUGAAAGAUCAGUCAAAAUGCUCCAAAACUCAGGCAGUCAAUGAGUUGAAAG